rnacentral:rRNA from 2 species
GGGUUAGUAGGUUGGUCAUGCCUCUGGUAUGUACUGAUCUCACUGAUUCCUCCUUCCUUAUGAACCGUAAUGCCAUUAAUUUGGUGUUGCGGGGAAUUUGGACUGUUACUUUGAAAAAAUUAGAGUGUUUAAAGCAGGCUAACGCUUGAAUACAUUAGCAUGGAAUAAUGAAAUAGGACGUUCGAUCUUAUUUUGUUGGUUUCUAGGAUUGACGUA